CAGCCGCCGCGGGAAUACGGAGGGUGCAAGCGUUAAUCGGAAUUACUGGGCGUAAAGCGCACGCAGGCGGUCUGACAAGUCAGAUGUGAAAUCCCCGGGCUUAACCUGGGAACUGCAUUUGAAACUGUCAGGCUGGAGUCUUGUAGAGGGGGGUAGAAUUCCAGGUGUAGCGGUGAAAUGCGUAGAGAUCUGGAGGAAUACCGGUGGCGAAGGCGGCCCCCUGGACAAAGACUGACGCUCAGGUGCGAAAGCGUGGGGAGCAAACAGGAUUAGAUACCCGUGUAGUCCCUGUCUCUUAUAC
rnacentral:rRNA from 1 species